rnacentral:rRNA from 1 species
AUUGAACGCUGGCGGCAGGCCUAACACAUGCAAGUCGAACGGUAGCACAGAGAGCUUGCUCUCGGGUGACGAGUGGCGGACGGGUGAGUAAUGUCUGGGAAACUGCCCGAUGGAGGGGGAUAACUACUGGAAACGGUAGCUAAUAACGCAUAACGUCGCAAGACCAAAGUGGGGGACCUUCGGGCCUCACACCAUCGGAUGUGCCCAGAUGGGGUUAGCUAGUAGGUGGGGGAAUGGCUCACCUAGGCGACGAUCCCUAGCUGGUCUGAGAGGCUGGCCAGCCACACUGGAACUGAGAACCGGUCCAGACGCCUACGGGAGGCGGCAGUGGGGAAGAUUGCACAAUGGGCGCAAGCCUGAUGCAGCCAUGCCGCGUGUAGGAAGAAGGCCUUCGGGUUGUAAAGUACUUUCAGCGGGGAGGAAGGCGGUGAAGUUAAUAACUUCACCGAUUGACGUUACCCGCAGAAGAAGCACCGGCUAACUCUGUGCCAGCCGCCGCAGUAA